CACGUAGGGCGCGAGCGUUGUCCGGAAUUAUUGGGCGUAAAGAGCUCGUAGGCGGCCUGUUGCGUCCGCUGUGAAAGCCCGGGGCUUAACCCCGGGUCGGCAGUGAUACGGGCAGGCUAGAGGUAGGUAGGGGAGAAUGGAAUUCCCGGUGUAGCGGUGAAAUGCGCAGAUAUCGGGAGGAACACCGGUGGCGAAGGCGGCACUCUGGGACGGUACUGACGCUGAGACGCGAAAAGCGUGGGGGAGCGAACAGGA
rnacentral:rRNA from 1 species